rnacentral:rRNA from 12 species
UCUAACAGGACUGCCUACGCAAGUAGAGAGGAAGGAGGGGACGACGUCAAGUCAUCAUGGCCCUUACGCCCAGGGCUACACACGUGCUACAAUGGCAGGUACAGAGGGUCGCUACCUAGUAAUAGGAUGCCAAUCUCAAAAAGCCUGUCUCAGUUCGGAUUGAGGUCUGCAACUCGACCUCAUGAAGUUGGAAUCGCUAGUAAUCGCGUAUCAGCA